GAAUUCGAGGGGUAUGGUACCUUGCUACAGACCGGCGCACGGGUGCGUAACGCGUAUGCAAUCUACCUUAUGCAGAGGGAUAGCCCAGAGAAAUUUGGAUUAAUACCUCAUAGCAUAGCAACUUCGCAUGAAGUCACUAUUAAAGUUCCAACGGUAUAAGAUGAGCAUGCGUCCUAUUAGCUAGAUGGUAAGGUAACGGCUUACCAUGGCUACGAUAGGUAGGGGUCCUGAGAGGGAGAUCCCCCACACUGGUACUGAGACACGGACCAGACUCCUACGGGAGGCAGCAGUGAGGAAUAUUGGACAAUGGGCGCAAGCCUGAUCCAGCCAUGCCGCGUGCAGGAAGACGCAUCUAUGGUGUGUAAACUGCUUUUGUACGGGAAGAAACACUCCCUCGUGAGGGAGCUUGACGGUACCGUAAGAAUAAGGAUCGGCUAACUCCGUGCCAGCAGCCGCGGUAAUACGGAGGAUCCAAGCGUUAUCCGGAAUCAUUGGGUUUAAAGGGUCCGUAGGCGGUUUGGUAAGUCAGUGGUGAAAGCCCAUCGCUUAACGAUGGAACGGCCAUUGAUACUGCCAGACUUGAAUUACUGGGAAGUAACUAGAAUAUGUAGUGUAGCGGUGAAAUGCUUAG
rnacentral:rRNA from 1 species